GGGACUGUAGCUCAGUGGUAGAGCACUUGCCUUCUAUGUGUGAAGUACUGGGUUCGAUCCUCAGCACCA
rnacentral:tRNA from 1 species